GACGAACGCUGGCGGCGUGCUUAACACAUGCAAGUCGAACGGACGGACGCGACUUUUGUUUCUUUGACGUUAGCGGCGGGCGUGAGAGUAACAUGAGUAUCAUCCCCUUAUAUGUCUGGGAUCAUCUCGGGAAUGCGGAGCUUACACCGGAUAAUAUCUUGCACCGUAUGGUUGAAUAGAAAAAGUCGGCCUUGGUGUAUGUUAUAGCUGGUUCCGCGCUGAAUUAGCUAGUUGGUAAGGUAACGGCCUACCAAGGCGACGAUGCGUAGCCGACCUGAGAGGGGGAUCGGCCACCCGGGAACGGAGACAGGGACCAGGCUCCUACGGGACGCAGCAGUCGGGAAUCUUACGCAAUGGGCGGAAGCCUGACGGAGCAGGGCCGCGUGAGUGAUGAAGGUCUUCGGAGCGUAAAACUCUGUUAUUAGGGAAGAACAUAUGUGUAAGUAACUGUGCACAGCUUGACGGUACCUAAUCAGAAAGCCACGGCUAACUACGUG
rnacentral:rRNA from 1 species